AUUAUUUUAAUAUUAUUUUAAAAUUGUUUUAUUUAUAAAAUAUUCUUUUUAAUUGAUCUAUGCAUGUAGUUUAUUAAUAUAUUUUUUUUGGAUUAAAUGCAUAUAAAUCCUGCAAACAUAGUAAAUUACAAAUAUAUUAUUACAAAAUUUAAUUUUUAUAUAUUGUUUCUACAAAAAGUUCUAAUAUUUUUAAAUAUGCUCCUCUAGUUUGUUACUGUUAAAGAACUAUUUAUAUUUUAACAGUAAAUAAGUAAAAUGUUAAUUUUGCUGCCACAAAUACGUUACUUCAAAAAUUACAAUAAUAUAAUAUAAGAGAGGAUAAAAAUGUCAAGUUAUUUUAUAGUUAAACUAAUCAGAGUUACGUAUUUAACAUAUAAUUAACUAAUUUUUUAUAGCAUAUUCUAAUUAUAUAGAUAUAUUUGAAAAUAUUAGAAUUUUAUAGAAAUAAAAUAUAGAAGUUAAUUUUUAAAAAAAUAUAUUUAUAAUUUAUUAUAUUUACUAUGUGUUACAUGUGUAUG
rnacentral:lncRNA from 1 species